UUUAUACAUUAAUUUCAAACUAUCCCGCCCUUUUAAAAUUUCACACUAAAAAAUUUCACUUUCCCUUCUUUCUCAAACAUAUCUAUACAAACUAGCCCAUUUACCGACUUUCUCCUCUUCUUGUUCAUUUUUUAUCCUCUAGAAACGAUAACGUUUUGGUCUCUUUUUAAUCCUCCAGAAAUGACGGACGAAAGAAAACCUAGCCCAUUUACCGACUUUCUCCUCUUCUUGUUCCUUCCUCAAGAUGAAGAUCUAUCUGUCAACCGACGUUCCCGUAAAAUCAAAAGUUGCUGCAAGUUCAUGCAUCCAACGUGACUAUGCUGCUUCGGCUUCCAGAGUAGAGCAGUAGCUCUUCGAGAUCAAAUAGUGCAUAGAUCUCAUUCAAGGGAGAGAUCUGAGCACAAAUGAAGUUCACGAUCUUGUUUGCACUCCAACAGGAAUCAACGAGUCCACAUAUUGCUGAGAAUUUGGUAAUGAUUUUCCUAGAAUUGAAAAUGCCAUUAUUACGCUGUCGUGUAUUUAGGCAUUUAUAGUUUUGGCAAUUUGUUUAUCAUGUGACGCAAUUUGGUUAUGCAGGUGACAAAGAACACAAUGAUGAUUGCCAAAAAAUUCUUAGACUUGUGGGAAUACCUAUGAUUGAGGCUCCGUCCGAAGCAGAAGCAGCGUGUGGCACUUUGCAAAGAGGUUGAUAUGAGUUAGUAUUGUUGUUUGAGAUGAAGGUGAAAUUAAUGUAAUUUUGUGUAACUUUGGAUGAUAAAUUCAUGGAAUGAAAAUGUUUGCAAUUCGUAUUUGU